rnacentral:rRNA from 1 species
UUCCGGUUGAUCCUGCCGGAGGUUACUGCUAUCGGUGUUUGAUUAAGCCAUGCAAGUCAAAUGUUUUUCGUAAACAUGGCGCAAUGCUCAGUAACACGUGGAUAACCUGCCCUUUUGGUCCGGCAUAACCUCGGGAAACUGAGGAUAAUACCGGAUAACUCUUUUUGGCCGGAAAGCAUUAAGAGUAAAAGAAUUUCGCCAAAGGAUGGGUCUGCGGCCUAUCAGGUAGUAGCGGGUGUAACGCACCCCCUAGCCCGACGACGGGUACGGGUUGUGAGAGCAAGAGCCCGGAGAUGAAUUCUGAGACACGAAUCCAGGCCCUACGGGGCGCAGCAGUCGCGAAAACUUCACACUGGGGGCAACCCCCGAUGAGGGGAAUUCCUAGUGCUAGGACAUUUGUUCUAGCUUUUCUCUAGCGUAGAUAACUAGAGGAAUAAGGGCUGGGUAAGACGGGUGCCAGCCGCCGCGGUAAUACCUGCAGCCCAAGUGGUGGUCGAUUUUAUUGAGUCUAAAGCGUUCGUAGCCGGUUUGAUAAAUCCUUGGGUAAAUCGGGAAGCUUAACUUUCCGACUUCCGAGGAGACUGUCAAACUUGGGACCGGGAGAGGCUAGAGGUACUUCUGGGGUAGGGGUAAAAUCCUGUAAUCCUAGAAGGACCACCGGUGGCGAAGGCGUCUAGCUAGAACGGAUCCGACGGUGAGGGACGAAGCCCUGGGUCGCAAACGGGAUUAGAUACCCCGGUAGUCCAGGGUGUAAACGCUGCCGACUUGGUGUUGGAGGCCCUUCGGGGGCAUUCAGUGCCGGAGAGAAGUUGUUAAGUCGGCCACUUGGGGAGUACGUCCGCAAGGAUGAAACUUAAAGGAANGGCGGG